GUUCUUACGGGUCUGUUUCUAACCGUUCUCUCUUGUUCAGUUGAAUUGUUGACAACGAGGUUUUCUUGAUCACAGUUGCUUAUGUCCCUUUCCUCGACUUCGUUCGUUGACAGUUCUAGUGGGUACAAUUUGCAAAUUGGUCUGUUUGUAUACCCUGUGCUUGUUCGAAUGUUCGCUGCUCGGACCAAGUUAUCACCUCCUCGAAUGAGAUCUUCCACAACUGCUAGUUUCCAGGUGGACCUCGGGCUGUCGUCAUGGACUAGAACUACGUCUCCUUUCUUAAUAAUCUGCUAAUUGUCUCCGCUAGAACGAUGAAACUCACGUAAAGAGGUGAAAUAUUCGUGCCUCCAUCUUUUCCAGAACCGUUGUAAAAUGAUAGCUUGUAGUUUCACUCGGCGUCGAAUAUCUGACUCAGUUCCAUAAUCUGGAUCUGUUAGGUCAUCCUCGGAGACAGGCGUAUCAAACGGUAAUGACGUGAUUCUUCUUCCGUACAAUAAGUGUGACGGUGUUAGUGGCUCUUCAUCGUUU